UACAGAGGGUGCAAGCGUUGCUCGGAAUUAUUGGGCGUAAAGGGUAGGUAGGUGGUCUCGUUUGUCAGAGGUGAAAGCCUUAGGCUUAACCUGAGAAGUGCCUCUGAAACGGCGAGACUAGAGUGCUGGAGAGGGUCGUGGAGUUCCCGGUGUAGCGGUGGAAUGCGUAGAGAUCGGGAGGAACACCAGAGGCGAAGGCGGCGACCUGGACAGCUACUGACACUCAACUACGAAAGCGUGGGGAGCAAACAGG
rnacentral:rRNA from 1 species